rnacentral:rRNA from 1 species
GAUGAACGCUGACAGAAUGCUUAACACAUGCAAGUCCACUUGAACUUCGGUUUGGGUGGCGGACGGGUGAGUAACGCGUACAGAACUUGCCUCACAGAUAGGGACAACAUUUGGAAACGAAUGCUAAUACCUGAUAUUAUGAUUUUAGGGCAUCCUAGGAUUAUGAAAGCUAUAUGCGCUGUGAGAGAGCUUUGCGUCCCAUUAGCUAGUUGGAGAGGUAACGGCUCACCAAGGCGAUGAUGGGUAGCCGGCCUGAGAGGGUGAUCGGCCACAAGGGGACUGAGACACGGCCCUUACGCCUACGGGAGGCAGCAGUGGGGAAUAUUGGACAAUGGACCAAGAGUCUGAUCCAGCAAUUCUGUGUGCACGAUGAAGUUUUUCGGAAUGUAAAGUGCUUUCAGUUGGGAAGAAAAAAAUGACGGUACCAACAGAAGAAGUGACGGCUAAAUACGUG